AUUCCUUGGUUGUUAAUUUUCUCAAAAUCUAAAGGCACAACCGAGAUUCGGGCCAAUUUCUUAAGUAGCUGAACAUGUUAUUACUCCAACCUUGUGAAAGUGAUAAACUGAAAGGUUUUCAUUUUCGUGAAAAACAACUUUAUAUCAAAGGAUCGCCUUCGAUUUGACUGUCUGCACAUACGCAGUUCUGCGCGAGACGAUCGUUAGACCCGAUGACGAGUUUCUGCGCAUGAUCUUAGCUAGCCAACGUCACCAUGACGUCACCUAGCAGCGUGAUCGGGGAUGUUGUAUUGGAGAAUCAGUUUCUGUCCAUCUUCAUACUGGAUUGUCUUUGUUAUUAUUAUGCUGCGAAAGUGGAAGCUUAUUUUCUCACUCGCAUAAUCAUGUGGUAUCCUAGUCGACAAAGCCUAAUUCUGUAUUUUCUAUCCUUUGGCGCGUUUGUGAACGGGAACGGACAACUAGGUGACUCUAAACUAAAUGAAAGGCCGUAUGUAGUCCUACAGAAUCAAAAUUUGGUUGUACUUAUUAGCGUCUUAUCUAUCCUGCUGGUGGUGAUGAUUGUCAUGGCAGUUUGUGUGUAUAAACCAUUGCAUCGCCGGUGAAGCAGUGUACAGCAACGUCAUGCUGUCCGACUGGAUCCAAGGGAAUCAACAAUCAAGGGAAUCAACAAUCAAAAAACCUUAGUCUACGCAUAUCUGUCUGAUAAACUGGAAUGUUAGACAUUAGGCACGGGGGUCCCGAAUUUUUAUAUAAACCUUAUUCAUCUUAGUUUUUUUCUCUCCAGUAUACACUACCCUGGUUGAAUUAAUGUUGUUUCCAUUGAUCCAAUGUGAAAUAGAUGUUGAUGUCUGUGCCCUGUGGGAUGUUGUGUUUUAUUUAAAUAGGCAAGUCAGUAAAGAACAAAGUCUUAUUUUCAAUGACGCCUAGGAACAGUGGGUUAACUGCCUUGUUCAGGGGCAGAACGGCUCGGGGAUUCGAUCUUGCAACCUUUCGGUUACUCUCUAACCACUAGGCUACUUGUCGCCCCGUGUGUCUUGAUUAGGCCAUAUAAAAUGUUAAUUUAUAUGAUUAUUUAAUAUUUUUUGUUAAGGUAACUUAAUAUUCCUGCUGCUGUCAUCGUUUAAUGGAAUUUGAAUGUAUUGUUUAUAUUUGUCUUAUAUUAUUUAUAUUUUUGCUUAUUUACCCUGAUAUAUUGGAGUAUUAUUAAAAUGCCCCACCACAAGGUACUACUGAAGUAAAAAAAAACAUGAUAAAAAAAAACUAACAUA